UACGAACCGUCCAAACGUUAUUCGGAUUUAUUGGGCUUAAAGGGUACGUAGGCGGCCCUGUCAGUCGGGUGUGAAAUCCCUCGGCUCAACCGAGGAACUGCGCCCGAUACUGCAGGGCUUGAGGGAGACAGAGGUAAGCGGAACUGAUGGUGGAGCGGUGAAAUGCGUUGAUAUCAUCAGGAACACCGGUGGCGAAAGCGGCUUACUGGGUCUCUUCUGACGCUGAGGUACGAAAGCUAGGGGAGCGAACGGG
rnacentral:rRNA from 1 species